GAGUUUGAUCAUGGCUCAUGAUAAACGCUGGCGGCGCACAUAAGACAUGCAAGUCGAACGAACUUAACCAUUAGUUUACUAUUGGAGCGGUUAGUGGCGGACUGGUGAGUAACACGUAAGCAACCUGCCUAUCAGAGGGGAACAACAGUUAGAAAUGACUGCUAAUACUGCAUAUGCCUUAGAAUCACAUGGUUCGAAAGGGAAAGGAGCAAUCCGCUGAUAGAUGGGCUUGCGU
rnacentral:rRNA from 1 species